rnacentral:lncRNA from 1 species
UGGUUUGAUACCAGUAACGCUGUGUAGCUUUGGUUGUCUGUGACUGUCCACCAGGCCUCAAUGAUUACUACUGGGGGAGGGCAAGAAGGCUAGAAGGGCUUGCCUAAGGCUGCUGGUUUGUCAGCACAAAAUUGAAUGCUCCCUUCAGCUGGUCAAUUAAAAGCCAGGCUUCAGAACAGAGAGGCAAAAGAUGCCUUUGCCAAACUACUUAGAAGAAUGUAAACGUUCCCUACCAGACGGCCAACAGAACCGCUGGAAGGUAUGGGGGCCAUCCAGAGCCCAAUUGCUACAUCAGGAGCUCCUUGUGGCAAAGCCAAGUGGCAAAGAAUUGGAAACUGGAGAGUGCCCAGUAAUUGAGGAAUGGCAUAAUAAGUUGUGGGUCUUGAGGCCAGCUGGAUCUCACUUGAAGUCCUAGGAUUUCUCCACCCCACCAUGGAGUCACCAAGAAAUGAAGAACUAAUGAAAGUUCUGGAAUCAAUGGCUUCUUCCUCUCCAAAAAGGCUGUCCUGAAGGGCAAAUUAUUUAAGACCAUUUAAGAAAUGUCAGUGGCCAUUUUAUAGUAGUACUACAUAACUAAAAAUUAUUUCCACUAAUUU